rnacentral:rRNA from 1 species
GACGUAGGGCGCAAGCGUUGUCCGGAUUUAUUGGGCGUAAAGAGCUCGUAGGCGGCUUGUUGCGUCGUCCGUGAAAACCCGCAGCUCAACUGCGGGCUUGCGGACGAUACGGGCAGGCUGGAGUUCGGUAGGGGAGACUGGAAUUCCUGGUGUAGCGGUGAAAUGCGCAGAUAUCAGGAGGAACACCGAUGGCGAAGGCAGGUCUCUGGGCCACUACUGACGCUGAGAAGCGAAAGCAUGGGGAGCGAACAGG